AAGAGGGCAGGGGCAGCCUGACCCUCUCAGCCUGGCCACGCCCGCCCGGCGGGGCGGAGCCAGGCCGGAGCCUCUUCCUCCUGGACCACAAUGCAUCCUCACGUGACCCUCAACCCUGCGGGGAUCCGAAGCUCGACUGGACAACCCAAGGCCAGAGAACCCGAGAAGCAGAGCCAUGAGCCCCAGGACUCAGCAAUUACUACAUUUCCCAUAGGCCUCCACACCCAGACUGACAGCAGCAGUACCCAAUGAAGUACGAGGACGCCUCAACGCCUAUUUGCAGGAGGCGAAUCGUUGGCGAGGGGCGGGACCUUCGCGCUUCUUUGCGGCGGGAAGGUGCGGUCGUUGUAGCCGCAGGAGGAUUGGUCCUACAAGCGGGAUGGGUCACCACUCCGGGCGCCGAGCACCCCGGGCCUUUUCAAAGUUCACUCACGGCAGGGGCAGAGGCCUCGACACUAACUCAUCAAUAGCCAACUGUGGGGAAUCUGUUCGGGGCAAGCACUGGACUAGAGCUAUGCUGUGGUGGGAAAAAGAAAAAGCACAGCAUUCCCGGUGGAGUCGAGUCAGGCGGAGAGAACCCUUCCAAAAUGCUGCUCUGAACAACCCAGUGCCCUGCAGGGCAGCGUGCUUCGCGCCAAGUGCAGGGCAGAUGCAAAGUGGCACAUGUGGGUCCUGCUGCUCCGUUGUUUCUGGAUCUGGGUGCUGGUCGCAUAAGUGUAUGCAGCUUGUGAGACUGAAAUAAGCUAUAUCCUUUAAUGUACUUAUCUGCCAUAGUUCAGUAAAAAUUUAAAAUACGGGGGCUGUCUCAGGGUAUGAUUAUAUACUGGAUUAAUGUAUGAGAGUCGCUGGGCAUGGUGGCACAUGAAACAGUAGUCCCUUGAGAAGUAAUUGGGAAGUACUUGGGAAGCAGAGGCAGGAGGAUCACUAUAAGUCUAUGGCUAGCCAUAGCUACAAAAGAAGACCCUUAUGUGAUGGAUAUUGUUGGUUGUUAACUUGACAUCUGGAAUUAACUAAAACCCAUUUGACUAGCCACACCAGUGAGGGAUUUUUGCUUAAUUAAAUCAUGUGAAGUGGGAAGAUCCAUUUCUAACCUGGACCCACCUCUAAUCUGAGCCACGCCUUCUGCUGGAAGACUCUAAAAGGACAUGGAAGAAGGAAGCUUCUCCCUUUGCCUGUUUGCUCUCUCCUUGCUAACAAGUCCAUUCCUGCACUGGCAUUAAAGCCUACUUCUUCAGGAUUCCAGCAUUAUAACUGAAGCCCAGCUGAGACAUCCAGCCUCACAGACUGAGCAACUGCUGGGUUCUUGGACCGUCCAUUCAUAGGUAGCAUUGUUGGAUUAGCUGGACCAUAGCCUGUAGGUCACUCUCAUAAAUCCCCUCUUUAUAGAGAGGUUCAUUCUGUAAGUUAAGGGUACUCUAGAGAACCCUGACUAAUACACUGUCUCAAAUAAAAAAAAAAAGCAGUAAAAGUAAUCUAUAAUCUCUGAAGUUUCACUUCUUAUCCAAAUGGGGUUGAGGGGAAGAUCCAGAUUUCAACUACAGAAUAAGCCUGAGGUGAUGGCAGUCUGGGCAAUGGAUGAUCUCUGUCAUUUUUUAAUAGAUUUGGAAGUCUGCACUCAGGUAGAAUGUAUCCUUCUCAGGUCUCUGAUGGCACUGAUGACUGGGCUAGCUAUAGCUUCGUCAGCUUAGAAACAUCAGGCAACCAGAGUCUUCCACGAGGUCGCAGCCACCUUAUUAAUUGAUCAAUGUAUUAAUUAAAGCUACUAAGUCUCUUAAAAAAGAGAGAGAAAGAGAUAAACAGGUUCUGAAUAUAGACUUACAGAUGCUUUUCAUGGGGCCAAAGACAUUUCAGUCCAAUCUGUAUCUGGCUCUCUAGGUAGAAAAGACAGUAUGUAUUUCAAGGCAAAUUGAUAAUACUACAGGUACUGAGACUAUGGGUCUGAAAGUUCCUAAUGAGUUCAUAAGUUUUAACUCCUGUUCCUAGUUUAUAUCUGUCACAACAGGUUUCCACUUGGCUGACAGACACAUGCAAGCAUCAUUUGCUGAAGAGCCCUGGACUUGCUAAAACCUGAUAUGGACCAACUUAGCUGAUAUACAUGCCAUCUCUUCAGCUGGUCAAUAAAACGCUCCCUCCCUGCCUUUGACUAACAUUCCGGCUUUCCAGGGCCCUGACAACAACGUCCCAAUAUCAGCAGGAGGUAACUGCAGAAGAGAAAACAUCGCCCUUGUUCCCCCCUACCCCAGAAUGUUAGCUCAAAUGGGAAUUUAUGUCACAGGGAACCUGAGAUAAAGCAAUAACUGGUUCCCAUCUCAUUUCCAAGUUCCCUCAGGAUAAGGAACUCUGUCAGCCAUCACAGGGCUUUUGGCCCUUGUGCUUCUGCUAAUUACUGUUGGCUCUUAUGUCACUGAUGUCUUAACUAAAUGAAGAUUCCUGUCUGGGUACCACUAAACUGAUGAUGCUAGAAUCCCAAGAUCAGCCCCUGGGCCAAAGCCAUGACAUACUUGCAGAUGGCAAAAACUGAAUAAAAGGAGGCUCACUUUGCCGUUGAUAAUGGGAAAACUCUUAUGUCUUGGUCCAAUUAGUCUCCAAAAUAAUCUACUACCCUGGUGAUAAAGUCUUUUACCAAAAAGAAACAUCUCCAAGAUUGGAGAUGAUAUACUACUCAGAGGGGAAUGAAAGGACCAAGCAGAUGCCAUAACAGGCUGCUCAGUCUUCUCUCAGAGAUCAGGCCUCAAUUUCAGUUUCCUGAGACUUG